rnacentral:lncRNA from 1 species
AAUUUAAGGAUUGAUUCUAUUUGUUUUACUUAAAAUACCUCUCAGCCAGAACUCCAUGUGCACCACUCAGAGGAAAUAGUCCAAAUUGUAUCAGUUUAUCCUGGUAAAGAGGAUAUUAGAGAACUGCUGCUCAGCACAAACCCAGCACACACUUUGCUGAGUGAUAGGCCUAUUCAAUCACAAAUGGGUAACAAAGCCUAGGGAAAGACCUUCGAUCUUGAGAUUAUUAGAUAAGAACCAGAAUAGAGAUGACAUUGUAACAAGAAGUAUGAGGCAAAAUACUGGGAAGUAUGCACUCAGAUAGGAAAGGCAGAUGGAAAGGCAGAUGGAAAGACAAAAAAUAUAGGCAAAGGGCAGAGAUAAGAUUGCAGAUUAUGUGAAUAUUGGCAUCUCUCCAAACUGAAGGAAUUAACCACAGAUUCCUAAUGUUCUUUUUGCUGUGCAGAAUCCCUGCUGCAGAGGAUAACACCAACCUGUCAUGUUCACUCCUCUUCCACCAAACUCUUCUGAGGCCAGUUCUUCUUGAGAGCUGUCUUGGUGAGCACACAGCAGAAAAACAAAUGUACUGUUGCUGGCCCAGGCUGGAAAACACAGAGUGUCUAGUAAUGCUGGCGGAGUAGCACAGGAAGAACCACAGCCUUCUGCAAGGAGACGUGCCAAAGGAACCAUACCCAGCAUGCUGCAAUUCAUGUGGCCUCAGGAGAAACAUGAAGGUGAGUUUCUCCCCUCACCAGGGAGGUGAGGACAGGAGCUAUUUCUGCACUUGACUCUGCCUCUUUGCCAGAGGUUAACAACUUCACACUGCUUCUCACAAUACUCUAACAGUACCCAGCAUCACAAGGCAAGUUCUCCUUCCCUGGCAGCAUGAGCAAUCCCUCUGAUUCUGCAUUUCAGCUGCUUCAGAGGAAGUAGAACCUUCCUCCUCUCGAUUUUGCUCUAAGUGCAACACCAUGGCAGUAGAGACAUCUGAGGUGAUAACUUUCUGGGCUAAGCCUGUCAGAGUUUGACAUUUUAA